rnacentral:rRNA from 1 species
UCCUACGGGUGGCUGCAGUGAGGAAUAUUGGUCAAUGGGCGGAAGCCUGAACCAGCCAUGCCGCGUGCAGGACGACGGCCCUACGGGUUGUAAACUGCUUUUCCGGGGGAAGAAUAACCCCCCUGCGGGGGGGGAUGCCGGUACCCCGGGAAUAAGGAUCGGCUAACUCCGUGCCAGCAGCCGCGGUAAUACGGAGGAUCCUAGCGUUAUCCGGAUUUACUGGGUUUAAAGGGUGCGUAGGCGGGCGCUUAAGGCCGCGGUGAAAGUCUGCGGCUCAACCGUAGGAUUGCCGUGGAUACUGGGCGUCUUGGAUUCGGUCGGGGCGGGCGGAAUGCGUGGUGUAGCGGUGAAAUGCAUAGAUAUCACGCAGAACGCCGAUAGCGAAGGCAGCUCGCCGGGCCGACAUCGACGCUGAGGCACGAAAGCGUGGGGAUCAAACAGGAUUAGAUACCCGAGUAGUCG